rnacentral:tRNA from 1 species
GGGGAGAUAUUACAAUUGGUUAGUAUACUUCCUUUGCAAGGAUGCUGAUGCAGGUUCGAGUCCUUUCUCUCCA